rnacentral:tRNA from 1 species
CACUAGGUAGCUAAAUCAGGGUACAGCGUUAGCCUUUUAAGCUAAAGAUUGGUGGCUCCCGCCCGCCUCUAGUGA